rnacentral:rRNA from 1 species
GUCCACGCUGUAAACGAUGGGUACUAGGUUUGGUGGGUCUUGACCCCCGCCGAACCGGCGCUAACGCACUAAGUACCCCGCCUGGGAAGUACGGUCGCAAGACUAAAACUCAAAGGAAUUGACGGGGGCCCGCACAAGCGGUGGAUCAUGUGGUUUAAUUCGAAGCAACGCGAAGAACCUUACCUGGAUUUGACAUCCUCGGACAACCCUAGAGAUAGGGCUUUCGUAGCAAUACGACCGAGAGACAGGUGCUGCAUGGCUGUCGU